rnacentral:rRNA from 1 species
UUGAACGCUGGCGGAAUGCUUUACACAUGCAAGUCGAGCGGCAGCGCGGGGGCAACCCUGGCGGCGAGCGGCGAACGGGUGAGUAACACAUCGGAACGUACCCAGUUGUGGGGGAUAGCCCGGCGAAAGCCGGAUUAAUACCGCAUACGAUCUAUGGAUGAAAGCGGGGGAUCGCAAGACCUCGCGCGAUUGGAGCGGCCGAUGUCAGAUUAGCUAGUUGGUGGGGUAAAGGCCCACCAAGGCGACGAUCUGUAGCUGGUCUGAGAGGACGACCAGCCACACUGGGACUGAGACACGGCCCAGACUCCUACGGGAGGCAGCAGUGGGGAAUUUUGGACAAUGGGCGCAAGCCUGAUCCAGCAAUGCCGCGUGCAGGAAGAAGGCCUUCGGGUUGUAAACUGCUUUUGUACGGAACGAAAAGGUCUGGGUUAAUACCCUGGGCUCAUGACGGUACCGUAAGAAUAAGCACCGGCUAACUACGU